GAUGAACGCUGGCGGCGUGCUUAACACAUGCAAGUCGAACGAUGAAGCCCAGCUUGCUGGGUGGAUUAGUGGCGAACGGGUGAGUAACACGUGAGUAACCUGCCCUUAACUCUGGGAUAAGCCUGGGAAACUGGGUCUAAUACCGGAUAGGAGCGCCUACCGCAUGGUGGGUGUUGGAAAGAUUUAUCGGUUUUGGAUGGACUCGCGGCCUAUCAGCUUGUUGGUGAGGUAAUGGCUCACCAAGGCGACGACGGGUAGCCGGCCUGAGAGGGUGACCGGCCACACUGGGACUGAGACACGGCCCAGACUCCUACGGGAGGCAGCAGUGGGGAAUAUUGCACAAUGGGCGCAAGCCUGAUGCAGCGACGCCGCGUGAGGGAUGACGGCCUUCGGGUUGUAAACCUCUUUCAGUAGGCAAGAAGCGAAAGUGACGGUACCUGCAGAAGAAGCACCGGCUAACUACGUG
rnacentral:rRNA from 1 species